GACGAACGCUGGCGGCGUGCCUAAUACAUGCAAGUAGAACGCUGAAGAAAGGAGCUUGCUUCUUGUGGAUGAGUUGCGAACGGGUGAGUAACGCGUAGGUAACCUGCCUUGUAGCGGGGGAUAACUAUUGGAAACGAUAGCUAAUACCGCAUAAUAGCUUUUGACACAUGUUAGAAGCUUGAAAGAUGCAAUUGCAUCACUACGAGAUAGACCUGCGUUGUAUUAGCUAGUAGGUAGGGUAACGGCCUACCUAGGCGACGAUACAUAGCCGACCGGGGAGGGUGAUGGGCCACACUGGGACUGAGACACGGCCCAGACUCCUACGGGAGGCAGCAGUAGGGAAUCUUCGGCAAUGGGGGCAACCCUGACCGAGCAACGCCGCGUGAGUGAAGAAGGUUUUCGGAUCGUAAAGCUCUGUUGUAAGGGAAGAACGUGUGUGAGAGUGGAAAGUUCACACAGUGACGGUAACUUACCAGAAAGGGACGGCUAACUACGUGCCAGCAGCCGCCGUAACAC
rnacentral:rRNA from 1 species